GACGAGCCACACAAACGUUAUUCGGAAUUACUGGGCGUAAAGGGCUCGUAGGUGGCCAACUAAGUCGGACGUGAAAUCCCUCAGCUUAACUGGGGAACUGCGUCCGAUACUGGAUGGCUUGAGUUUGGGAGAGGGAUGCGGAAUUCCAGGUGUAGCGGUGAAAUGCGUAGAUAUCUGGAGGAACACCGGUGGCGAAGGCGGCAUCCUGGACCAACACUGACACUGAGGAGCGAAAGCCAGGGGAGCAAACGGG
rnacentral:rRNA from 1 species